UAGGGAACUCCCUGGGAGGUCAGUGGAAGACACUUCCUAGGAAUGAUCAUGUGUUGCCUGACAUCACUAAGAGGUGGGAUUAAGCCUAGCAGACAAGAGUCACAGAUGUCUUCCCUAGAAACCCACAGAAAGAAGACUGGAGGUUCAAUUCAACUAGGCAGACAAAAAGCCCCAAGUUUUCAGAGACCUUAGAAUGAAAAGGAAAGUCUCUUCUCUGAAAUCUCAUCGAAGAGGGGCAAAGCAGAAUGAGUGUGGGGAAGAGGCAGCAGUGUCUAUGAUGGUGUCUGCAACCUGGAACUGAUCUAACUGCAAACCAAACUUUGCAGUAGAAUCUCAUAUAAGUCAUGAUUUCAUAGCAGCCAAUCUUGAGGUCUAGCUACAAUAAAUCAGUAAAUGGUU